GGGUCGGAGCACCUGCCGCUCCUGCGGCCGCCCCGCCCUGGGCUGACCCGGGUGUUCAUGGGGUCUUCGCCGAAUACCGGAUCCCUCAGAAACCGAGAAUUGAGGCUUGAGACCGUGCCUCUCAGGAGAGAGGCAGCCUUGCCCUCCACGGUUUACCGAAGUCCGCUGAGAGAGGUCCGCGGGCAUCCUCCGCGUCCACAGCGGGCACUAGGGCUGCAGCCUGCACGCCCCCCGACCUCCCGGCCACCUGGCCCCGCCCGGAUAGUGCUGCUGCCCUGAACCUGGGCGGCUGCAGUGCUGCCUAAUCCGAAGACACCAGCCUCGGACUGCUGAUCCUUCUGCGGAGUUUGAACUGUGAAGGUGAAAGAACAGGUCUUCGCUUUAGAAGCUAGGCCUGCCUCGAGGGCCUGGAUUCUAAGAAGUAGCGAGGAGGCCGCAGGAGCAUACAUAGGUCCUGAGGGCAUCCGAACCCCUACCAGCCCAGCCCAGCACUGACUUCACCCCACCUACCUCUUGGAAGGGAAGCAGCGGAGGCAUGAAGGCAAAUCUCUUAAUCCGGGAUCAUCACUGACUGAUAAAUUUCAUUCUGGGAACGCUGCUCGUUGGCAUGUCUUUGGUUUUGGUACCAGCGUGAUAGAGGCUUCGCAUGAUGUCUUUGGAAGUGUUCCCUCCUCUUCAGUCUUUUGGAAGAGUUUGAGAAGAACUGGAUGAAAACAGAGGAGGGACCGGGCAGUCCCAGCAGGAUGGGGAAGCAGACAGACCUAUGACACACCAAGCAGCUCCAGAGCCACGACCAGCCCCUGACAAGGAGCAGCAGAAGUCUCAAAGCCUGUGAUGACCAGCCUGAGCUCACAGCAGCCCUGCUGACUGCUGUGCCCUGCACCUUGUAGAGGAUCUGCUGGGAGGACCUGGCUUCCUGGGAGGCAAAACUUCCUUGAAGAAAACACCUCUCCAUUCAUUCACGAAAUACUGUCUAGGCAGCUGUGAUGACUAAGACCUGGCCCUUGCCGUGGGAGGGGUGCUGGCACAGCCAGGAUUAUAGCAGGGCAGUGUGUGAUGGAGAUGUAAGGUGCUGGGGGGCUAGAGGAGGGAGGGAUCAGCAGAGCUGGGGCAGGGGAGGUGCAGAAGGGGCUACAGAUGUGGUGGACUCGGGUCUGUGCCUUCCAUGGGAGUAGCUAUUCCAGAAGAGAGCUGCUGCUAUGUUGCUGUGUUUAAUCAGUCAAUCCAGUGCAUAUUUACUGAGUACCCGAGAGACCCUGAAGACAUCCUGUCUCCUCCCUGAGCCCCUGUUUCUUCACUUGAAUAAUGAGGAAAUUAGACUAGGUAAAUUCUAGGGACAAACUGAGUCCCAGACACAGAGCUAAGAAGUACAGAUUUGGUUUUUUUUUUCCCUAAAUACUGUGUUAUUGAUCUAAUUUAUAACUCUAUUGUGGUCAGAGAAUUUACUUCGUAUGACUUGAAUACAUUUACAUGUAUAGAGACUUGUUUUAUGGCCCAGAAUAUGGUCCUUCUUGGUAUAUGUUCUGUGUGUACUUGAAAAGAAUGUGUAUUUUGCUACUGUUGGUGGAAUUUUACGUCAGAUCCUGUUGGUUGAUGGUGUUGUUAACGUCUAUAUCUUUUCUGUUUAUGUCUAGUUUUGGUGGAGUUUUUUUAUUUUUUAUUUUUUUUAGGGCUGCACCUGCAGCAUAUGGAAGUUCCAAGGCUAGGGGUUGAAUUUGAGCUGUAGCUGCAGGCCUGUGCCACAGCCAUAGCAAUGCCAGAUCCAAGCCCCACCUGUGACCUACACCACAGUUCACGGCAAUGCCAGAUCCAUAAACUACUGAGCAAGGCCAGGGACUGAACCAUGUCCUCCUGGAUACUAGUCGGGUUCAUUACCCUUGAGCCACAAUGGGAAUUCCUGCUUUUGUCUAGUUCUGUCAGUUGUUGAUGGCAGGGGCGGGGGGCGCGAUAUCCCCACGUAUAUCUGUAUCCAUAAGCCUAUUUAUUGUCUGUUUCUUCUUUCUGUUCUAUCAGUUUUUGUUUCCCACAAUUUGCAAAUGGUUGUUUGGUGUAUACAUAUUUAGGAUUGCAAAGUAUAUUCUUCAUAAGUGGACAUUUUUUUCUCAUUAUAUAAUGACCUUCUCUGUUUCUAGCAACAUUUGCUUUGCUCUGAAGCCAAUAUUAAUAUAGCCUCUCAAGCUUUCUUUUAAUGUUUAGUGUUUUCAUUAUGUAUCUUUUUCCAUCCUCUUAGUUUCAACCUGCCUGUAUCACUAUAUUUAGUUUCUUAUAGACAGCAUAUAGCUGAGUCCUUAAAAAAAAUCCACUGUAAUAACCUGUGUCAUUCAAUUAGUAUAUUUAAGAUAACACACAUUUUUACAUAGGUCACUUACAUAAUAAUUAAGGUAGUCAUUCAUAUAUUAGGGUUUUAAGUUUGCCAUUCUUUGGCCACACCAACAGAAUGUGGAAGUUCCCGAGCAGGGGAUGAAGCCUGCUCCACAGCAGCAAUCCAAGAUGCUUCAGUGACAAGGCCAGAUCCUUAACCUGCUGCACCACAAAAGGACUACAAGUCUGCCAUUGUUUUUUGGUUUUCUGUUUAUUCUGGGUUUUUUGCUUCUAUAUAUUUUUCUUGCCAUUCUGGUAGAUUACCACAUUUUUUCGAAUUCUGUUCUGUAAUAUUUUGAAUGCAUUCAUUUUUAUAGAUUUUUUUAAGGGGUUGCUCUAGGUCUUACCUUAUAUGUAUGUGCAUGUGAGUAUAUAUAUAUGAUAUAUGUAAGAUACAUAAGUGUGGGGAUAUAUAUACACACACACGUGUGUGUGUGUGUGUGUAUCACUCUACUGGUGUCCUCAUUUUACCAGCAAGGUAGCAUUUUUCAGUUGCUGCUUUUAAGAUAUUUUCUUUGUCUUUAGUUUUCAGAAUGAAAGAUUCAGAUGAAUCUUGAUGUGGAUUUCCUGGGAUUUUUCAUAUUUGGAUUCACUUAGCAUCUGGAAUCUGCAGAUAAGUUUUUAUGUGUACAGGUCAGUGGCACUGUGUACCUUCACACUGCUGUGCAUCCAUCACCACUAUCCAUAUCCAAAACUUCUGCAUUAUCCCAAACUGAAUCUGUGUACUCCCUAAACAAUAAUUACCCAUUCCUUCUCUCUCCAGCCCUUGGUUACCACUAUUCUACUUUCUGUCUCUGUUUUCAACUACUAUGGGUACCUCAUAUAAGUGUAAGCAUACAAUAUUUGUCCUUUUGUGACUGGCUUAUUUCACUCAGCAUGAUCUCUUCAAGCUUCUUCCAUGUGGUUUCACUUUUAAGGCUGAAUGAUAUUUCAUUGUAGGUAUAUUCCACAUUUUAUUUAUUCAUCUAUCCAUGGACAAUUAGGUUAUUUCAACCUUUUAGCUAUUUUCAAUAAUGCCUAUUAUGAACACUGGUGUACAAAUAUUUGUUCAAGCCCCUGCUUUCAGUUUUUUUUGUGUGUGUAUACCAGAAGUGGAAUUGCUGGAUCAAAUGGUAAUUCUAUGUUUGAUAUUUUUGAGGAACUGCUAUACUCUUUCCCCACAGUGACUGCUCCACUUUGCAUUGCUGCCAGUAAUGCAAAGGGUUGAGUUUUUCCACAUCCAUACCAACAACUUGUUUUUUGUUUUUUGUUUUUUAACAAUAGCUGUCCUAGGAUAUGGGUAAGAUAUAACAUCUCAUUGUGGUCUUGGUUUGCAGUUCCCUAAUGAUUAGUGAUGUUAAGCAUCUUUUAAUGUGCAUUUUGGCUAUUUGUAUAUCUUCUUUGGAGAAAUGUCUAUUCAAGUCCUUUGCCUAUUUUUGACUUGGGCUAUUUUGAUAUUGAAGUUUAGGUGUUCUGGAUACUAAUCCCUUAUCAGAUAUGUGACCUGCAAAUAUUUUAUUCCAUUCUGUUGAUUGCUUCUUUACUCUGUUGAUAGUGUUCUUUGAUGCACAAAUGUUUUUAAUUUUUAAAAAAUUCAAUUUUUCGAUAUUUUCUUUUUUGCCUGUGCCUUUGGUGUCACAUCCAAAAAAAUAAUUGCCAAACCCAAUGUCAUGAAGCUUUACUUCUGUUUUCUUCUAAGAGUUUUAUAGCUUUAGCUCUUAUAUUAGGUCUUUAAUCCAUGCAUUACUGUAUCCUUUUUAAGAUUCUUUUCCAUUAUAUUUUUUAAGAUUUUAAUUUUUUCCAUUAUAGUUGAUUUAUAGCAUUGUGUCAAUUUAUACUAUAUAGCAAAAUGACCCAGUCAGAUAUAAAUAUAUAUAUAGAAUACGUAUUCUUUUUCUCACAUUACUCUCCAUCAUGCUCCAUCACAAGUGACCAGAUAUAUUUCCCUGUGCUAUACAGCAGGAUCCCAUUGCUUAUCCACUCCAAAUAUCAUAGUUUGCAUCUAUUAACCCCAAACUCCCAGUUUAUCCCACUCCCUCCCCCUCUCCCUUGGCAACCACAAAUCUGUUCUCCAAGUCUAUGAGUUUCUUUUCUACUACAGGUAUUGAACAUAGUUCCCUGGGGUAUACAGUAGGAUUCUGUUGUUUAUCUAUUUUGUAUAUAGUAGUGUGUAUAUGUUAAUUCCAAACUCCUCAUUUAUCACCUCCUUCCUCUUUGGUAACCAUAAAUUUGUGAGUCUAUUUCUGUUUUGUGAAUAAGUUCAUUCUCUAAGAUUCCACUUCAGGGAUAUCAUAUUUGUCUUUUGCUGUCUGUGCAUGAUAAUCUCUAGGUCUGUGCAUGUUGCUGGAAAUCGCAUUAUUUCAUUAUUUUUAAUAACUAAUAGUCCAUAUAUGAACCACAUCCUCUUUAUCCAUUACUCUGUUGAUGGACACAUAGGUGGCUUCUAUGUCUCAGAUAUUAUGAAUAGCGCUGAGAUGAACAUUGGGGUGCAUGUAUCUUUUUGAAUUAUAGAUUUUGUAUUUUCCGAAUAUAUGCCUGGAAGUGGGAUUGCGAGAUCAUAUGGUAACUCUAUUUUUAGUUUUUAUCAGGAAUGUCUGUUCUGUUCUCCAUAGUGGCCUCACCAGUGAGGGCAACACCCUUCCCACCAACGGUGUAAGAAGGUUCCCUUUUCUCCACACCCUGUUAAGCAUUAAGUCCUUGUAGACUUUUUGAUGAUGGCCAUUAUGACUGGUAUGAGGUAAUACCUCACUGUAGUCUCGAUUUACAUUUGUUUCAUUAUUUAGCAGCAUUGAGCAUCUUUUCAUUGCCUAUUAGGCCAUCUGGAUGUUGUCUUUGGAGAAAUGUCUAUUUAGGUUCUUUGCCCAUUUUUUGAUUGGGUCGUUUUUUUAAUAUUGAGAUAUAUGAAUUGUUUGUAUAUUUUGGAACUAAAGCCCUUGUUGGAUACAUUAUUCAAGUAUCACUUUUUUAUAUGGUGUUAGGGAAGGGUCCAACAUCAUUCUUUUGCAUGUGGAUAUCUAGUUUUCCCAACAUAAUUUGUUCAAUAGACUGUCCUAUCCCCACCGAAUGGUAUUGGGAUGCUUGCCAAAAAGUUGUUUAUUUGAUAUAUAUGUGAGAGUUUAUUUCUGGGCUCUCUAUUCUACUCCAUUGCUCUAUAUAGCUGUCUUUAUGUAGUAAAAUUGGACAUUAGAAAGUGUGAGUCUUCCACCUUUUUCUUUUUCAAGAUUUUUAUGCUGGUGGGGUCCCUUGAGGUUUAUAGAAUGGAUUUUUCCACUUCUAGAAAAACGUCAUUGGGAUUUUGAUAGUGAUUGCACUGAAUCUAAAGAUUGUUUGGGUAGUUUUGACAUCUUAACAAUAUUAAGUCUUUCAGUCAAUACGAAAUUUUAAUCUGUUUAUGUCUCCUUAAAUUUUUUUUCAGCAGUGUUUUAUAGUUUGCAGUGCAUAACACAUUGGUUAACUUAACUCCUUGGUUAAGGUAAUUCUUAAGAACUUUGUUCAGAAAAUUGCUAUUGUGCCUGGAACUGUUUACUUAAUUUCCUUUUGGGAUUGUUCCCUGUCAGUGUAUAGAAACACAGCUGACUUUUGCAUGUUAAUUUUAUAUCCUACUACCUUCCUGAAUUUGUUAUUGUUAUUGUUAUUAUUAUUUUUUGAGGGCCACAUCCACAGUAUAAGGAAGUUCCCAGGCUAGGGGUCAAAUCGCAGGUGCAGCUGCCAGCUUACACCACAGCCACAGCAAUGCCAGAUCUGAGCUGCAUCUGCAACCUACAUACACCACAGCUCAUGGCAAUGCUGGAUCCUUAACCCACUGAGCAAGGCCAGGGGCUGAACCCAUCCCCCAUGGACCCUAGUUGGGUUACCUCUGAGUCACAAGGGGAACUCCUGAAUUUAUUUUUUUUUUUAAUUUUGUGGAGUCUUUAGGGUUUCCUAUAGUAUAAUAUCAUGUUAUCUAUGAAGAGAGAUAAUUUUACUUCUAUUCAAUUUAGAUAUUAUUUCUUCAAAUACUUUUUCCACUCUGCCCUCUUUUUCCUCCUUCUGGGACUUCAAUAUUAGAUCUUUUGUUAUAGGUAUGAUGGGCCUCUGAAGCUCUUUCCAGUUUUACCUUUUUAUUAGUCACUUUAUCUAUUUUUGAGAUUAGACAGAUUAUAUUGUUCUUUCUUUAAGUUCAUUAAUUAAUUCCUCUAUUUUUUACAUUCUGUUAAGUUCAAAUCUGUCAGUUUUGGUAAUGUCAAUUUUGGUAUUAUUUAUCAGUGCUUAAAUUUCUGUUCAUUUCUUAUUUAUAUCUUAUAUUUCUUUACUGAGAUGAUCUCUUUUUUCAUUUGUUUUGAGGAUGUUUCUAACUGCUUGUUAAGCACUUUUAUGAUGACUUUAAAAUCUUUGUCAGAUCAUUAUAAAAUCUGUAAUCUUGCAGUUGA
rnacentral:lncRNA from 1 species